ensembl:ncRNA M03E7.9 ncRNA
GUAGCCUAUGUGUUGCUCCUGUACGCAUCGAGAGAGAGAGAGAGAGAUGGAGCAGCCGCGAAAAAUACACGGGUUUUCCGCUUUCGAAACAUGCGGGCUCGCGUGUCACCUCUACGCAAACAUUCUCCUUAUAUGCCAUGUUUUCCUGAUAGGGAAGAAGAAACAACUUUUGGACUUUGUUUUUGGUGCGAAAUGAGGAUGGCCAAUUAGGUGCUCCGAAUAGA